AUAAUAUGCAUAAUGUUUAAUCUGGCUGUAAGAUCUUUAUGACAGAUUUGUCUGUAACUGAAAUUUUGGUCAAGGCAGAUUUAUGCAUCAAUGAGAAAGUUUUACUAUGUGGGAUUUGGCAUGGUUUUUUUGUAGCUGCUUGCUAAGUAGAUGGAUGAGUCUGAGAAUGGGUAACAGGACAGAUGCCACAUUUUUAUGAUGAUUGGUGUCUGUAACUGCUUGGCCACCUGAUGAAGCAUAAUAAUAAUCCCCCAACCCCCAGAUUGUCUCAAAGCAGCUUUACAGACAUUACUGUCUUAAUUUCCAGUCAGCAAGGGUAAAUAUCUUAGCAUGGAGUUAGAAGGAGAAAGGAAAGUACUAAGACUCAGGAAGGGAAGCCUGUCUUCAUCAGGUUGACACUGGGAAUGAGUUAGAUGAAUCAUCUGGGUUUAAAAAUGUGUGCUCAGACAAAUGGCCAAAUAAAACUGUGUGUGUGUGUGUGUGUGUGUGUGUGUGUACCUGGUUGUGUCCUGAAAUAAUGUUACUGUCUGUGUGGAAUUUCAUAUGUUGUCCUCGGGUCUGUGUGGGUUUCUUCCGAAUUCUCUGGUUUCCUCCCACCUCCCAAAAACAUACCAGUAGGUUGAUUGACUACACUAAACUGGCUCUUUGUGUGAAUGAGUAUGAGUAUGUGAAUGUGUGUGCAUGAUGCCCUGCAACGGACUGGUGUUCCAUCCAGGGUGUUCCUGGGAUAGGCGACCCUGACCAAGAUAAAGCAGUUACUGAAGAUGAGUGAAUGAAUUAUUAGGUCAAGAUCUUGCACUAUCCUGAAAGAAAACUAAGAAGUUCCUGGAUGCCUGCUGUGUCACAUUUGCACAACAGCUAAAAGCAGGAGGAAAUAUUUCUACUUCCAAGAGUCAACUGCAAAUUCAAGAUACUGACUGUGUGCUGUUUCACUGGCCCUCAAUACAACACGUCAUCAGAUCCUUGCGUUCUAUGAACUGGAACUUCAUCUUCAGGACUCUACAUAAUGCACUUUAUAUCCUAAGCACACCUGGGCGUUUUGUCUUGUACAGGGGUGAGUUUGUUUUUGGAGCUCAGGAAGGUGAUUCUUUUCUCCCUUCACUGUCAACACG
ensembl:lncRNA